UACGAAGGGGGCUAGCGUUGCUCGGAAUCACUGGGCGUAAAGGGUGCGUAGGCGGGUCUUUUAAGUCAGGGGUGAAAUCCCGGGGCUCAACCUCGGAACUGCCUUUGAUACUGCAAAUCUCGAGUCCGGAAGAGGUGAGUGGAAUUCCUAGUGUAGAGGUGAAAUUCGUAGAUAUUAGGAAGAACACCAGUGGCGAAGGCGACUCACUGGUCCGGUACUGACGCUGAGGUGCGAAAGCGUGGGGAGCAAACAGG
rnacentral:rRNA from 1 species